GCCGGUGGUUCAGUGGUAGAAUUCUAGCUUGCCAUGUUGGAGGCCUGGGUUCGAUUCCCAGCCAAUGCA
rnacentral:tRNA from 1 species